rnacentral:rRNA from 1 species
UACGGGGGGGGCAAGCGUUGUUCGGAAUUACUGGGCGUAAAGGCUCGUAGGCGGCCAACUAAGUCCGACGUGAAAUCCCCAGGCUUAACCUGGGAACUGCGUCGGAUACUGGAUGGCUUGAGUUCGGGAGAGGGAAGCGGAAUUCCGGGUGUAGCGGUGAAAUGCGUAGAUAUCUGGAGGAAUACCGGUGGCGAAGGCGGCAUCCUGGACCGACAUUGACGCUGAGGAGCGAAAGCUAGGGGAGCAAACGGG